rnacentral:tRNA from 1 species
UCCUCAAUAGCUCAGUUGGUAGAGCGAUGGACUGUACUCUUGUCACAAUCAGCAUGUGUCACUGGUUCGAGCCCAGUUUGGGGAGCCA